CUUUAUGGAUGUGAAAGAUCCCACGCAGAGAGACCCUUACUCAAGUCUUGGGAAAUCGCGGACCCCAGACACAGGGAGACCA
rnacentral:pre_miRNA from 14 species